AUACUUCAGCAGCAUAUACACUAAAAUUGGAACAAUACAGAGAUUACCAUGGCCCCUGUGCAAGGGUGACAGGCAAAUUCAUGAAGUAUUCCAUAUUUUU
rnacentral:snRNA from 1 species